rnacentral:rRNA from 1 species
UACGGAGGGGACUAGCGUUGUUCGGAAUUACUGGGCGUAAAGCGCACGUAGGCGGAUUUGUAAGUCAGGGGUGAAAUCCCGGAGCUCAACCUCGGAACUGCCUUUGAUACUGCAAAUCUCGAGUCCGGAAGAGGUGAGUGGAAUUCCUAGUGUAGAGGUGAAAUUCGUAGAUAUUAGGAAGAACACCAGUGGCGAAGGCGGCUCGCUGGUCCGGUACUGACGCUGAGGUGCGAAAGCGUGGGGAGCAAACAGG